rnacentral:tRNA from 1 species
GGGGGAUUAGCUCAGCUGGGAGAGCGCUUGAAUGGCAUUCAAGAGGUCAGGGGUUCGAGCCCCCUAUCCUCCACCU